AACGCUAGCUACAGGCUUAACACAUGCAAGUCGAGGGGCAUCAGGGUAGCAAUACCGCUGGCGACCGGCGCACGGGUGAGUAACACGUAUCCAACCUACCGUUAACUCGGGGAUAGCCUUUCGAAAGAAAGAUUAAUACCCGAUAGUAUAUUUUCUUCGCAUGUUGAAAAUAUUAAAGAAUUUCGGUUAUCGAUGGGGAUGCGUUCCAUUAGGCAGUUGGCGGGGUAACGGCCCACCAAACCUACGAUGGAUAGGGGUUCUGAGAGGAAGGUCCCCCACAUUGGAACUGAGACACGGUCCAAACUCCUACGGGAGGCAGCAGUGAGGAAUAUUGGUCAAUGGACGAAGGCCUGAACCAGCCAAGUAGCGUGAAGGAUGACUGCCCUAUGGGUUGUAAACUUCUUUUAUAUGGGAAUAAAGUUCUCCACGUGUGGAGUUUUGUAUGUACCAUUAUGAAUAAGCAUCGGCUAACUCCGUGCCAGCAGCCGCGGUAAUACGGAGGAUGCGAGCGUUAUCCGGAUUUAUUGGGUUUAAAGGGAGCGUAGGUGGACUGGUAAGUCAGUUGUGAAAGUUUGCGGCUCAACCGUAAAAUUGCAGUUGAUACUGUCAGUCUUGAGUACAGUAGAGGUGGGCGGAAUUCGUGGUGUAGCGGUGAGAUGCUUAGAUAUCACGAAGAACUCCGAUUG
rnacentral:rRNA from 1 species